rnacentral:rRNA from 1 species
GAUGAACGCUGGCGGCGUGCCUAACACAUGCAAGUCGAGCGAUUCUCUUCGGAGAAGAGCGGCGGACGGGUGAGUAACGCGUGGGUAACCUGCCCUGUACACACGGAUAACAUACCGAAAGGUAUGCUAAUACGAGAUAAUAUGCUUUUAUCGCAUGGUAGAAGUAUCAAAGCUUUUGCGAUACAGGAUGGACCCGCGUCUGAUUAGCUAGUUGGUAAGGUAACGGCUUACCAAGGCGACGAUCAGUAGCCGACCUGAGAGGGUGAUCGGCCACAUUGGAACUGAGACACGGUCCAAACUCCUACGGGAGGCAGCAGUGGGGAAUAUUGCACAAUGGGCGAAAGCCUGAUGCAGCAACGCCGCGUGAGCGAUGAAGGCCUUCGGGUCGUAAAGACGUCUGUCCUCAAGGAAGAAUAAAUAGACGGUACGUUGAGGAAGGAAGACCCCGGCCUAACCUACGUAGCCAGCAGCCGCGGUAAGUAUACACGUGUA